GCUGGGUACAGUGGCGUAUGCCUGUAAUCCCAGAAGCUCAGGAAGCUGAGGCAGGAGGAUCACAAGUUCAAAGCCAGCCUCAGUAACUUAGCAAGGCUCUGAGCAACUCAGCAAGACCCUGUCUUUU
rnacentral:sRNA from 1 species